UGGAUACAAUUCGAAUUUUGAUCUUGUCAAAAUCUGUACGAUAGAUAUAAAAUCUUGCCUCGGAUCGAAAUUAGAAUGACAAUCUCUAUCGAACUUGUAAUUCUAAUCACAGCUAAAACCAGUAGGAGCCAGCUCGGAUUUUCACCCUAACUUCAACUCGACUCAUGCCUUUCUUGAAGCACAGCACAAGCUAAGUAUUCGCCUGAGCUAGUUACUCUAAUUAGGUUUUAUAGUUACAGCCAGAGGUCGAACAUAUGUUCAAGAUUUUUACUCACAUACUUGAAAGCAUGAUUUUUAUUCAUCAAAAGAAGAGGAAUACAUCUGUUCCUGUGGAGACUAUUAUAAGACCAAGGGCCUCGAAUCACAAAGAGUAAAAGAAGAGGGCAUGAAUCACUCCUCAAGGAGAUUAUCGGGGCUGUCGUCUAUGGGAAGGUAUUCCUUGAUGCCGACGAUUCCUUCGGUCUGGAUGGUUGUGUCGAUCUUGUCCACUUCAUCUGAUGAUGUCAUUAUAAAUCUUGACCAGCUAUCCGAUGACACUUGUAAAUCUUUGUCCAGACAGUCAAUUUGAAGAUACUUGAUGAAGUUAGAAGGAAGAUGCAUUUGGACAAUAGACUUGCACUUCUCGAAGCCCGCGAAGAACACCACUUUGCAAGCUUGAGCUAUGAUCUUAGCUCCUUUCUCCAGUCACUUUCUCCUACUUUCAGCAUAUUUGAGUAAAAUCUCUUGAUCUAUAAAUUUAUCCCAG
rnacentral:lncRNA from 1 species